rnacentral:rRNA from 1 species
UGAGGAAUAUUGGACAAUGGGCGCAAGCCUGAUCCAGCAAUGCCGCGUGAGUGAAGAAGGUCUUCGGAUUGUAAAGCUCUUUCGACGGGGACGAUGAUGACGGUACCCGUAGAAGAAGCCCCGGCUAACUUCGUGCCAGCAGCCGCGGUAAUACGAAGGGGGCUAGCGUUGCUCGGAAUGACUGGGCGUAAAGGGCGCGUAGGCGGUUCGUACAGUCAGACGUGAAAUUCCCGGGCUCAACCUGGGGACUGCGUUUGAUACGUGCGGGCUUGAGUUCGGAAGAGGGUCGUGGAAUUCCCAGUGUAGAGGUGAAAUUCGUAGAUAUUGGGAAGAACACCGGUGGCGAAGGCGGCGACCUGGUCCGAUACUGACGCUGAGGCGCGAAAGCGUGGGGAGCAAACAGGAUUAGAUACCCUGGUAGUCCACGCCGUAAACGAUGUGUGCUGGAUGUUGGGCGGUCUGACCGUUCAGUGUCGUAGCUAACGCGAUAAGCACACCGCCUGGGGAGUACGGCCGCAAGGUUG